GUGCUUGCUUUGGCAGCACAAAUACUAAAAUUGGAAUGAUGCAGAGAAGAUUAGCAUGGCUUCUGCACAAGAUGACACAUGAAUUUGUGAAGCGUUCCAUAUUUUA
ensembl:snRNA U6 U6 spliceosomal RNA